rnacentral:misc_RNA from 1 species
AGCAAGCAGACAAAACAGAAGACGGGAAUAUAAAAGGGGCAUUUCAAAAACUCGGAAAAAUAAAUUGUCUUAAUGUGUACUUUCAGAAGAAUGCUGUAUCCGACUCAAAUUAGACUCAAUUGACUCUGGCACCACUGCCUCAAAUACCUCAGUAGACACAUCAGUGUGUGGAAGAGCAUCACAUUUAGCAUCAACAUCAUCAGCCCCCAUCAAAUCUUUAGACACCAGAGAAGCAAGGGCAUCAGUUUGGCCCACCUCUUCCGCAGUUUCUAAAACUUUAAUUUCCUGGGCCACAUCCACAACUGUAUCAGCUUCCAUGCCAGCUCCUUCAUCCAUGCUAGUAGGGAGAUCUGAUUUCUC